CUCAGAUUAAGAGAGCUGAGCAUCUCAGGGCCCAUUAUCUCUUGAAUCCGAAGGACUAAAUUGGGAGAUCAAAGGUGGAUUUGCCCCAUUUGUACAAACCAUUCACUCUUGCAAGAACUUUAGAAGAAACCUAACAAGUCCCAGAGGCAAAACACAGGUUCAGUGCACUGUCACCCAAAGGCACAUUCCAAGUCACACAUCAUGGUCUUAGCCCACACUGAUCUGCUUUUCAUCCCAGAGUAUGUUAUGAGAAGCUGCUGAGCAGACUCAGGUUUCUAUAAGUUUGAGCUGUGCUAUGCUGGUGAUGGGAUCAGCCCUUGGGCUUUAAGGACAUCAAAGAGGACCUGAGUGACAAUGUUCUGCAGCCCUGUGCAUCCAAGUGAAGAAUCAGAGCUGUUGUUCUGAAAGAAGAAUCAGAGGGUCUUUCUUUGGCAUGGAACACAGAAUGGA
rnacentral:lncRNA from 1 species